UGAGAAAAACAUUCUUGUCUUUGACCUUGGUGGUGUGACAUUUGAUGUCAGUAUCCUGACGAUUGACAAUGGUGUAUUUGAGGUUCUUUCCACAAAUGGAGACACUCAUUUGGGAGGUGAGGAUUUUGACCAGAGGAUUAUGGAAUACUUCAUUAAACUGAUUAAGAAAAAGCAUGAAAAAGAUAUCAGCAAGGAUAACAGGGCUCUUGGGAAGCUCAGGAGGGAAGCUGAGCCUGCCAAGAGAGCUCUCAGCAGCCAGCUCCACGUCCGUGUGGAGAUUGAAUCACUUUUUGAUGGUAUCCAUUUCUCUCAGAUACUGA